rnacentral:rRNA from 1 species
GUGCCAGCAGCGGCGGUAAUACGUAUGUCCCGAGCGUUAUCCGGAUUUAUUGGGCGUAAAGCGAGCGCAGACGGUUUAUUAAGUCUGAUGUGAAAUCCCGAGGCCCAACCUCGGAACUGCAUUGGAAACUGAUUUACUUGAGUGCGAUAGAGGCAAGUGGAACUCCAUGUGUAGCGGUGAAAUGCGUAGAUAUGUGGAAGAACACCAGUGGCGAAAGCGGCUUGCUAGAUCGUAACUGACGUUGAGCUCGAAAGUAUGGGUAGCAAACGGGAUUAG